GACGUAGGGCGCGAGCGUUGUCCGGAUUUAUUGGGCGUAAAGAGCUCGUAGGCGGUUUGUCGCGUCUGCUGUGAAAACCUAAGGCUCAACCUUGGGCUUGCAGUGGGUACGGGCAGACUAGAGUGCGGUAGGGGGUGACUGGAAUUCCUGGUGUAGCGGUGGAAUGCGCAGAUAUCAGGAGGAACACCGAGUGGCGAAGGCAGGUCACUGGGCCGGCAACU
rnacentral:rRNA from 1 species